rnacentral:lncRNA from 1 species
AUAUGUCUGCCCCCACCCAAUGAAAUUCUCAGAAAGUACAUUCAUAUUCUUUUUAGACAGAAUUAUACAAUUCAGAGGUAAAGGCAAACUGAAACAAGAGCUGACUAUAAAUGUGUUGUUUUAUUAAAUAGUAGUGGUUCUCUCUGCCGAUGUCUUUUUCCUCCCUCAUUGAGAGUUACUAUGGUAAUGAACCUCUUUAAAUCAGGGGAGUUUAUGGUAGUCUGUAGGCCUACCAACUGGAAAAAAAAUUAAUUUAUGAUUCAUGUGAAUUUUUCUCAUUUAAAGUAAUUGAUUUUGGUACAUAUUUGUGAACAAGAACCCACAUAAACUCUUUAAUUUGCUAAGAUCAGUAAUCAGUUCUUCCAUGGAAGAAAGAGGUAUGAAAGGAUUCCAUCUCAGCCAACUCUCCAGUGGUACUAUUUUUGGGAAAUUUAAUUUUUAUUUGAGUCAGAAUUUCUUCUUGACAUUUUAGCAUGGGGCCAGAGAAAGAGUGGAAAGGGCAGAAUUUCACUUCUAUUCCCAGGCUUAUCCUAGUUUGUAUUCUGUCACAUUUGUAAUAUGUUUUCUGGGUUAUAAGGAAGAAUACUUCAAUGAUGGCUUUCCUACAUAAAUUGUGUGUACCGCUGGACUAGGGAUACUUUUAAAAUGUGCAAUAUUUCUGGUGAAAUAAUAAAAGCUGAGUUUAAUUAACACCUUAUAUAUUUAAUGGGACUUUUUUAUUUUAGCUAUUUGAGAAGAGAUUUUAAAUGUGAGGUAGGAAGGUGGUGGGAGAGAAAACUGCAGAGGACUGGGUAUUGGUGAGAAGUUUUAUGUUGGCAGGCAGCACCUAGUGUAAAGAGAUAUGUGCUGUGAGGGAAGAAUACUUUGCAGAAAGGAGAGGUAAGAG